AUUGAACGCUGGCGGCAUGCCUUACACAUGCAAGUCGAACGGCAGCACGGGUGCUUGCCCCUGGUGGCGAGUGGCGAACGGGUGAGUAAUACAUCGGAACAUGUCCUGUAGUGGGGGAUAGCCCGGCGAAAGCCGGAUUAAUACCGCAUACGAUCUACGGAUGAAAGCGGGGGCCCUUCGGGCCUCGCGCUUUAGGGUUGGCCGAUGGCUGAUUAGCUAGUUGGUGGGGUAAAGGCCUACCAAGGCGACGAUCAGUAGCUGGUCUGAGAGGACGAACAGCCACACUGGGACUGAGACACGGCCCAGACUCCUACGGGAGGCAGCAGUGGGGAAUAUUGGACAAUGGGCGAAAGCCUGAUCCAGCAAUGCCGCGUGUGUGAAGAAGGCCUUCGGGUUGUAAAGCACUUUUGUCCGGAAAGAAAACCUGGGCCCUAAUACGGUCGGGGGAUGACGGUACCGAAAGAAUAAGCACCGGCUAACUACGUG
rnacentral:rRNA from 1 species